CAAAGCAAGGUUCACACAGACAGGAACACCGGGGAAUAACGAGUAGACCAGACAAACACUAACUAAACAGGCAGGAACUAAAUACACAUGACAAUCACUGAUAAUUACUGAAACACGGCUGGACAAGACUUAACUAAUAAUCACACACGUAACAAGGACAGGAACAAGACCAAAUAUGGAAACAAGAGGCGGGAACACAUGACAGACACGACAGAGGAUGUAACAGUACUUCUGCGAGCGUGUAUGGCGUCUGGCUUCAGUACCUCACUGUGACUUCAGAUAAGAACAAAGAUGAAAUUGUAAGAAGGGUUGCUUAUAAAAGCAUACAGUACAUCUGAAACUGCUGAGGCUGGGAAGGUUUUUGACUAUAUUUCCGACCAGAUCAGCUGCUAUAGAAGACAAACUGAAAUCUGAGUGCAGAGACGGGAAUAGUAAGUAUAUUUUAAUGUCGUAUCACCUCUGUUAUAGAUUUUUGAAUCAGGCCUAAUAGAGGGGGAUUCGGUCAAUCUUGGAAGAAAAACGUCAGCAAUGUGUCCAUUCCAGCUGCAAGACACUACUGACUAGGCUGUGCCCAGGUCUCCGGAACCUGCGACGACGCUCAGCUCCAUUGGUCCUUAGUCUGCGGCUUCGGAUCCACCAGCUCUGUCUCCAUCGGUCGGCCCCCAGAUGUCGGCAGCCACACCAUCUACAUCUUGGCUCCUCCCUCCCUCAACUCUGCCGUGUGUUGUCAGCACUGGGAUGCUCUGGGUCUGUGCCAUGUGCCAAACACCAUCUAAGCCGCCAGGGCAUCAUCGUCAUCCUCUCAUCACCAUCCCUACACCAUCUCUUUGUCCACCUCCAAAACCCCUCCAUCCCCCCCUAUUCUGUUGCUUGAACUUUAUCAUCUUCAGUCUUCGCACACACAUCUAUUCACUUUACAUGUUUUUAUUUCUUCAGAAAAUUGCAUUGUAAUUUUUAUUUAUUCAUUGAUGUAAAAUUCUUUACUUUUCAGUAAUACAGGUAUAACUGAAAUGUUCUACAAAUGGAUAAGAUGGCUCUUCCAUAGCAUUUCAGUCUUUUUUUUCCAUUUAUGUUUUUUGUAUAAUGUUUUAAAAUGUACUUGAGUAUGUUUGUAGUAAUACAAAAAUACUAUAAACAUACUUGUAUUUCAAGUGCAUUUUUAAUACAUUUAAUAGUAUGUUUUUUUUUGUUUUUCACCAAAGUAUAUAUGCUGCUGUACUUUUUUUUAAUGUACUUCAUGAAUAUUUGUAAUGUACACAAUAUAUAAUACAUUAAAGUUUUCUAAAUAUCAAAGUGUACGUGUGUGUAUAUUGAAAAAUAUAAUACUAAUAAAUAUAAUAUAAUAAUAGUGUAAUGCUAAUGCAUUUCUAAUAAGCUGAAAUACAAUUGAAAUGUACUUGAAGCACAUUAAAACGAUGCUUCAAAUAUACCUUACCUGUAGUUCAUGAAAUAUCACAAGUACAUUUUAAAUGUAUUUUUAAAAAUACACUUAAAUUGCAUUAAAUAUACUUAAAGUGGUUCCAAUUUAACACAAUUUCAAUAUAUUAAAUAUAUUACAAAUAGAUUAAAAUUGAACUUAAGCAUAUCUUGAAAUACACUUAAUAUACUUAAAGUUGUUUCAAAAUAAUACAUUUAAUAUGCAAUUAGUACAGUAUAAUAUAAAUAUAUUAAGUGUGUCUGAAAAAGCACAAUUUAAAUAUAUUUCUUUUUCACCUGGGUUAACUAUAUGAUUUAAAUAUGAGAUGACAACUCAAACAGAGGCAUUUUUGCCCCAUAUCUUGAAUUUUAGGAACAUUCUUACUACGUUCUCUAGGCUCCAUCACGCAGCGAGUUGUUGCCCUGCCUCAUAUUUGUCAUCAAUCAACUGUAUGAAAUGUCAGAUGACCCACGUAGGUCUGGGGCGGGGCAAGUGCAUUAAAUGCGUUAAUUUUAAUGCGUUACUUUUCACCGUAAUUAACUAAUCUAAUUAACACGUUGAAUUACCAGCCCUAAUUGAAAUCUAAUCUCUGUUUUUC